rnacentral:rRNA from 1 species
GGGUGCGUAACGCGUAUCGAACCUGCCUCAUACUCGGGGAUAGCCUUGCGAAAGUAAGAUUAAUACCCGGCGGUCUCGGACGGCAGCAUGACUGUCCGAGUGAAGAUUUAUCGGUAUGAGAUGGCGAUGCGUCCCAUUAGCUUGUUGGUGAGGUAACGGCUCACCAAGGCAUCGAUGGGUAGGGGUUCUGAGAGGAAGGUCCCCCACAUUGGAACUGAGACACGGUCCAAACUCCUACGGGAGGCAGCAGUGAGGAAUAUUGGUCAAUGGACGAAAGUCUGAACCAGCCAAGUAGCGUGCAGGACGACGGCCCUCUGGGUUGUAAACUGCUUUUAGUUGGGAAUAAAAAGAGGGACGUGUCCCUUAUUGUAUGUACCAUCAGAAAAAGGACCGGCUAAUUCCGUGCCAGCAGCCGCGGUAAUACGGAAGGUCCAGGCGUUAUCCGGAUUUAUUGGGUUUAAAGGGAGCGCAGGCGGCGGCGUAAGUCAGUUGUGAAAUCGUGCGGCUUAACCGUGCAAUUGCAGUUGAUACUGCGUCGCUUGAGUGCACACAGGGAUGUUGGAAUUCAUGGUGUAGCGGUGAAAUGCUUAGAUAUCAUGAAGAACUCCGAUCGCGAAGGCAUAUGUCCGGAGUGCAACUGACGCUGAGGCUCGAAAGUGUGGGUAUCAAACAGGAUUAGAUACCCUGGUAGUCCACACAGUAAACGAUGAAUACUCGCGGUUGGUUCGUU